CGAAUGGAAAUACCUUGACUAUGUAUGGCAAAGUACGGAUCAAAAACAAGAUACCAUCGAACAGGGUGUUUACAACCACUCGAGAAUCUUGAUGUUUGACCAUUACAGCCACUGCCAGAUGGCCGACGAAUGGUAACAACUCCGAAAUUCUACAAUAACCCGGCAACUCUAUCGACGAUUUCGGAGGCAACCGGCGACGGUGGUCCAUUGCUGAUGAAACGGAAUUGGUGUGUUGGAAUCUACAGAAUCCUCUAGGUAACGACUACGUCGGUGUUCUGGAGCAGAGUGAAACUACCUUGCAGUAUAUUUCCAGCGUCAAGCCCAUAAUAGAAGACGGUAGUGACAUCGAGACAGUCUGGGUAUUGACGAAUAGAUUCCAGAAGUACGUAUUGGGCACGAUGAAUUUCGACGAGAUAAACUUCAGAAUGAUAACGGCCGACGUCGCUGCCCUUGUCAAAGACACUGUAUGCGAACCGGAGGAUCACGAAGUUUUGGAUAGUAUACUUGAUAUAAAUUUUCUUUACCUGAAAACUGUAUCCGUAUAAACUGUCACCGACCGUAUUAGCGUGGCGCGUAGCGUGCGAAACUAAAUUCUUGGUAAGGAAUAUUUCGCAUUCUUAGACUACUUCGGUAGCUACAAAAACUCGGGUAUAUUCGUUUUUCAGUUGUAUUAAAAUGUCACAAAAUAAAGUUUUUCAACAAUCAUA